CUACUUAGCUGGUAGGGGAGAUACUAUGAUCAGGAAGGUGGUUUUCCCAGGGAGAGGCUUAUCUAUUGCACUCUGAUGUGCUACCUCUGUGAUUUUCCUAAAUGCAGAAAAUGCGACUGCAUUAAUUUGUGAUUUUAUUCAUGCUCUCCUGUUU
rnacentral:snRNA from 1 species